GGGGGAAGGCAGGAUCGGGCCCGCAGUGAAUUACGUUUAAUCAAGGGAAUAAACACGGCCGAUGCCUUUGAAGUCCCCGGGGACGUCCAGCGAGGUGUUUCGUUUCGUUUCGUUUGUUUUGCAAAGUUUGCGCUGUGGUUUCCGCUCGCGCCGUGUCCGAGCCUGCCCAGGGCGAGCUCGGGGCGCUGGGUCACCCUGUCCUCGGCCCGGGCUGGCACGAGAAAGCAGCGUGAGCCGGCCCGGGACACCUCCAAGUGAAGUCGUUGAAUGAGAAGGAAGUCCUGAACGUGCCCGACCCUGCCCGGCCCCUGCUCUGCUCCUGAAUGCGGCUCUGCACGGCUCGGCGGGGCUGGCCGAGCCGGCGGCUCCGACCCAGCGGGUCCGAGCUGAGCUGCUGCGGAGGGAGCACGGCGGGCAACAGCCCACCACAUCCGCAGGCUUUUCCCGCAGUGCCUGCGUGGACGGGGCAUGGCACGCUUCUCACGCGGCUCCGGGCGGGGAGAAGGCGCGGGAGGGCCGCGCGGGGCAUGAGCUGGGACAGGGGUAGGUUGGAGCCGUGUUGGUCUAAGGACACAGGCAGACACAACUGCAGACCAGCCCGACGAAAGGGGUUUGUACCCGAAAGCUUGCAAAGAAGCAUUUUUUUCCCGACUAUUUGAGCUGGUCUAAUUAAAUCGCAGUUACCCAAACAACUCUGCAUGCAAGGGUGCUUGUCCUGCAGCCGGCGAGACCCGAGGAAGAGUGCCUGGACUGUAUUGGGAAGCGUGUCUAACUUUAACCCAACUGCACACCCCACCACGCCAACAGCAAACAGACAGUAACAUUACACCUUGGGCUUGUUGAUGGCAGGAGGCAGCCGGCGCCGAGGUAAAAUGCUUGGCUGAGAUUGAGACAAGCAGGAAGGAAUUGGGGUCUCGCUGUCCUUUCUAGCCAUGGGGCAGAAUAAAAAUCCUACACAUUUCCUCAUUCUGAGGACCUUCAAACACCUGGCAACCAUAGGAGAUGCUCAGCCUCUAAUUUGGGGCCUGCCAAAUCCAUGAUGCAAGGGGGAAACGUAUUCUUGUGGCAAUUAAAGGAGCAUCAGAAGCCUGAUUCAGGACUUGAUUCUGCUCCCGCUGACUUCAGUCAACAAGCCUCAGUGGGAGCAGGGGUUGGCUGUGAUCAAGCAGCAGAGUCUUUGAAAUAUGUGCUGCAUAUUAACAGCAGGCAUGGCUACAUAUGGAAGGCCCUUCCCUGCAUUUAGGCAGCUUCUCACUGUUUUCCAAAUACACCCUCAAACUGGCAUGACCUGAUAUCUGAAGAUCACCCUUGUAUAGUCCACCUCCUGCCAUACUCUUUAGAUUCAUCCCUGGGAAGAGACCUGUGAACCAGAGAGGCCUAUAAACUGCUUAAAUCCUCAUAAUAAUCUAAGGCAACUGCAUUUCCUCUCGUGACUGAUGCAGUGCAGUCUCCGAUGGCUGAUCCACCUCAGAGAGCAGAGGGCCUGUCCUUUUGAUCGAAGCUGGACAACCACUGGCUGCUGCUCACACUCCAGAGAUGACUGCAUUUCAGCUCAUUUGUCUGCAAUACAGGAAAUGCUUUGAGCAGAAGACUGGCUCCACUUCGCUUACCAAACCUAUCAUAUGCUGGAUGAUACCCACCCAAAAAGUCUGUGGAUGUCAGGAUUGUGGGACCCAAUCUGGAACUGAGUCUCGUCUUCUUGACUUGAUUUAUGCUGGUCAAAAUGAGGAGUAAUUUCAAUGGCAUCAGUGAAGGUGCUUUAGAGCAGCGGUUCUGAACCAGGGGUACGUGAAGCCUCAUCAGUGGGGUACGUGCAAUAUAUUUCAUACAUUGUCUAACACAGGUCGAAGGGCCUAAAAAAAGUCUUGACAAUUUGAAAUUGCCGGGGUUUUGCUGCCGUAAAAUGUGCAUGUGUGUGGAAACCAGAUAUCCUACUCCUGCUCCAUGCCUCAACCUUGCACUGGAAACAUUGCUCCUAGGGGGUACGUGAAGUCUCACUCUGAGACCAAGGGGUACGUUGACUGAAAAAGGUUCAGAACCACUGCUUUAGAGUAUAUUCAGAAUUAGGUUCUAGAUGUUUUAGGGUGCGUUCCCUUUCCUACUGAAGUGAAGUGCAUAUACCUAUGAGCCCCAAUGGCAAUGGAAAAGGGCUCUUGCUUUUACAGUUCUUUCUGGCAAGGAUCUAGCUUCCCCCUUAUCUUGGUUCUGUGCAUUUUAUCUGCAUAAGCCUGGUCAGACUCUUUUGCAACAGAUCUGAUCCCAUGUUCCACAACAGAAAUUUCUGAAGUGCUAGGAUGUGAGCUAAACUAUGUAUGGCCCCUGAUUGAUGUAACUAAUCUGUUUGUUCCAAGCAAGCCCUUCUGAAGGGAGCAUUACUCAGGUCAUCCAUCUUUGUAUCAGUUCCAGAUGAAAUAUGUCUUUAUUGUCUCUAAAUAAAAUAAUCACAAUAUUUUAGGUGAGCAGCAGUGGGCCAAAUAUUCUACAGGUGCAAAGCAGCAUAGCUCUAUCAAUUUCUUUGCCAAGAAUCUGACUUAUCCUGCCUUGAACAAUCUGUC